GAUGAACGCUAGCUACAGGCUUAACACAUGCAAGUCGAGGGGAAACGACAUCGAAAGCUUGCUUUUGAUGGGCGUCGACCGGCGCACGGGUGAGUAACGCGUAUCCAACCUGCCCAUCACUUGGGAAUAACCUUGCGAAAGUAAGACUAAUACCCAAUGAUAUCCCACGAAGGCAUCGGAAUGGGAUUAAAGAUUUAUCGGUGAUGGAUGGGGAUGCGUCUGAUUAGCUUGUUGGCGGGGUAACGGCCCACCAAGGCAACGAUCAGUAGGGGUUCUGAGAGGAAGGUCCCCCGCAUUGGAACUGAGACACGGUCCAAACUCCUACGGGAGGCAGCAGUGAGGAAUAUUGGGCAAUGGGCGAGAGCCUGAACCAGCCAAGUAGCGUGCAGGAAGACGGCCCUAUGGGUUGUAAACUGCUUUUAUAAGGGAAUAAAGUGGGUCACGUGUGACUUUUUGCAUGUACCUUAUGAAUAAGGACCGGCUAAUUCCGUG
rnacentral:rRNA from 1 species